CGAGCGUGACAUUUUCAUCGGACUUAAACCAAAUAUUACGUAAAAUUUAGCCCAAAUGUACUAAACUUUUUGUUUCUUGACAAAUACAAAAAUUAUAUAGUUUCUGAAUACAUUUUCAUGAAUGGGGGGACUAGGUACGACACACCCGAUUUACUUCCAUACGAAAACCCCCUCGCUCGCAUAGAUAAGUCGAUAAAAAUAAAGUUAGAUACCUAACGUAUAGCAACGUCGCGUAGCUAAGCUUCGCGGACCACUCGGAAUGCCUCCAGAGACCACCAGUGGUCCGCGGACCACCGGUUAAGAACCACUGUGCUAAACGAUCGUUCUAUUGUACAGGUUGUACAUAGCUGGGCAAGCCAAAUAGCCAGCGCGGUUUUUACACUAGGAUAAAAUUGCAUUUCCGAAAUUUUGAUCACAUCUACCAGUUCCAUCUCCUUCAAUGCAUUAUUUUUUGAAUUAGAUGGACGGCUCGGCUCGCUACUUCACAUAGCACCUAUUCUUUUAGGGAAUAAGGCUCGCUUUCAAAUGACGCGCGCACAUUUUGUUUUGAUCGCGCUCUUUUCAAAGUCGACAAUUUUUUUGUGUAAUAAUUUACGGAUAGUACAUAUGAUUGUUGAUGUUGUUAGUUAGAGUUAGUAAAAAAAACAUUGUUUAAUCAGACACCUUAUAGGUCAGAGCCAGGGCCCAGGGUGGGGCAAGUGCCCCAGCUUGCCCCAGUGUGGCUACGCCCAUGGAUGUAGGUGGUAGGUAUGUACAUAAGUAAAAGAAUGACGCAAACUCAUAGAUGUACAUAGAUACAAAAAAAUACUUCGACUGUAGGGUAAACUGGGUACGGUUGUGCCAGGGUACGGUAGUGACAGUCGCAGUUGUAACGAAACUAUACGUAAAACGGGGGAGGUUGUGAGGGAGAAAGACGUGGCUCACAAGCCUAAACACGUUCCCCAGUAUUGCGUUAGCCGGCGCACGACGUUGACGUAAGCAGGAGCCCACAUUGCUUUUCAACAAUCAAAAAUGUCCAGGAUACGUUUGCGGAAGACCGAAAGAGCGCAGUGUGAUAUCAAAAAAUAAAAAGAUGCCGAUGAAGAAGUGAAACAAGGGAUUUCGUACGUGUAGCUCAAGCUACAAGCCUUUCUACAGCUACAAGUUUGAACAGAGCAAAUGUUGUUUUGUUGAUUGUUAAAACUAUGUUUGUAAGCUUAUUAUGUUAAACAUUUCUACAAUAAAAGAUAUUAUAGACCA